GGACGGCCCAGGUCACCAUCAGAGGAGAUCACUCUCAGAUCCAGCCCCACCUCUUGUCCUGCGCGAUGUGACUUCUCAAUUACCUGAUAGGAAAAAAGAGGGAAGAUGGUAUCCAGCACUUGACUUCCAUCUAGAGCUGUGACCAUGAUGCUCUGGUCAGUGAGUCGAGACAGUGCAGAACGAAGGGCCCAGGAACACGAGACACAGCAUGGUGAAUGUGUUUGACUGAUGACUAUGGAUCUCAAGCAAUGCACCCUGUGGGAAAAGAGCAGCAUGUGAGACCUUUUCCUCAAAGAAAAUGAUUUCAGCUCACACCACCCUUCUGCAACAACAUAUCAGUUCUGCAGUGCAAUGCAUUAAAUAGCUGCUAUGUGGUACCCAGUCACAAAGCAGCCCAUGGAACUAACUGUCUCACUACCAGCCUCUCUGGUCAUCCCUCCUUUCCUUCCCAGUUCCCUUUUCUGGCCUCACACGACCACUCCCCAGAUCUCCUCCUGCAGCCAGAAUGGACACGUGGCCUGAGAGCUUCGGAGACUUGAGUUCUCUGUUCAUCCCAUACCCUGUGCAGUGCUGGGUCCCAGUGCC